rnacentral:rRNA from 1 species
CAACAGGGAUUGCCCUAGUAACGGCGAGUGAAGCGGCAACAGCUCAAAUUUGAAAUCUGGCUCUUUCAGAGUCCGAGUUGUAAUUUGCAGAGGGCGCUUUGGUGUUGGCAGCGGUCCAAGUUCCUUGGAACAGGACGUCACAGAGGGUGAGAAUCCCGUACGUGGUCGCUAGCCUCCGCCGUGUAAAGCCCCUUCGACGAGUCGAGUUGUUUGGGAAUGCAGCUCUAAAUGGGAGGUAAAUUUCUUCUAAAGCUAAAUACUGGCCAGAGACCGAUAGCGCACAAGUAGAGUGAUCGAAAGAUGAAAAGCACUUUGGAAAGAGAGUCAAAUAGCACGUGAAAUUGUUGAAAGGGAAGCGCUUGCAGCCAGACUUGCCUGUAGUUGCUCAUCUGGGCUUUUGCCCGGUGCAUUCUUCUGCAGGCAGGCCAGCAUCAGUUUGGGCGGUUGGAUAAAGGUCUCUGUCAUGUACCUCUCUUCGGGGAGGCCUUAUAGGGGAGACGUCAUGCAACCAGCCUGGACUGAGGUCCGCGCAUUUGCUAGGAUGCUGGCGUAAUGGCUGUAAGCGGCCCGUCUUGAAACACGGACCAAGGAGUCUAACAUCUAUGCGAGUGUUUGGGUGUCAAGCCCGAGCGCGUAAUGAAAGUGAACGGAGGUGGGAACCCUUUUAGGGUGCACCAUCGACCGAUCCUGAUGUCUUCGGAAGGAUUUGAGUAAGAGCAUGGCUGUUGGGACCCGAAAGAUGGUGAACUAUGCUUGAAUAGGGUGAAGCCAGAGGAAACUCUGGUGGAGGCUCGCAGCGGUUCUGACGUGCAAAUCGAUCGUCAAAUUUGGGCAUAGGGGCGAAAGACUAAUCGAAC